rnacentral:rRNA from 1 species
GGAAACGACUGAUAAUACCGCAUUAAGCGCACAGCACCGCAUGGUGCAGUGUGAAAAACUCCGGUGGUGUGAGAUGGACCCGCGUCUGAUUAGCUAGUUGGCGAGGUAACGGCCCACCAAGGCGACGAUCAGUAGCCGGCCCUGAGAGGGUGUACGGCCACAUUGGGACUGAGACACGGCCCAAACUCCUACGGGAGGCAGCAGUGGGGAAUAUUGGACAAUGGGGGCAACCCUGAUCCAGCGACGCCGCGUGAACGAAGAAGUAUUUCGGUAUGUAAAAGUUCUAUCAGCAGGGAAGAUAAUGACGGUACCUGACUAAGAAGCCCCGGCUAACUACGUGCC